rnacentral:sRNA from 1 species
AAUAAACCCGGAUUGAAGCGGUUUCGAUUCUUCAUCGAAAGUAGUGAAAAGCGGGGCUGCUC